rnacentral:rRNA from 1 species
AUUGAACGCUGGCGGCAGGCCUAACACAUGCAAGUCGAACGAGUGGCGGACGGGUGAGUAAUGUCUGGGAAACUGCCCGAUGGAGGGGGAUAACUACUGGCAACAGUAGCUAAUACCGCAUACCAUCGGAUGUGCCCAGAUGGGAGUAGCUCGUAGGUGGGGUAACGGCUCACUUAGGCGACGCUCCCUAGCUGGGCUGAGAGGAGGACAGGCCACACGGGAACUGAUACACGGUCCAGACGCCUACGGGAGGCAGCAGUGGGGAAUAUUGCACAAUGGGCGAAAGCCUGAUGCAGCCAUGCCGCGUGUAUGAAGAAGGCCUUCGGGUGGUAAAGUACGUUCAGCGAGGAGGCGUUACUCGCAGAAGAAGCACCGGCUAACUCCGUGCCAGCAGCCGCGGUAAUUC